CUUGACCUCAUGAUAUGCCCGCCUCAGCCUCCCAAAGUGCUGGGAUUAUAGGCAUGAGCCACCAUGCCCAGCCCCUUUUUAUAAGGUUCAUCCCAUUAUUGAUAUUCUCUAAUUGGUGAGACAUUGUUCCCACACUUUCGUUAGUUCUUUUGACAUGGUUCUUUUCUUUUUCUUGGGAGAGGGUCUCUCUGUCGCCCAAGCUGGAGUGCAGUGAUGCAGUCAUGGCUCACUGCAGCCUCAACUUCCUGGGCUGAAGUGAUCCUCCUACCUCAGCAUCCUGAGAGGCUGGGACCAUAGGCAGCCAGCUAAUUUUUUAAAUUUUUUGUAGAGAUGGGGGUCUCACCACAUUUCCCAAGCUGCUCUCAAACUCCUGGGCUCAAGCAAUCCACGGGCCUCAGCUUCCCAGAGUGCUAGGAUUAUAGGUGUGAGCCACUGCACCAGGCCUACACGUGGUUUCUCCCUUUGAAGUACUAGCCAGGCCUGACCAUGCUUAGCUUCCGAGAUCAGCAGGUUCCAGCCGGUGCAGCCUCAGAUGCAGCAUGUUUUAGGUCUUUGAACAUAUUUAAAUGAGCUGACUGAACGUCUUUGUCUAGCAAUUGCAGCAUCGGGCUGGUCCCAUUGGUGACUUUUCCCGUGUCUGGGUCGUCCUUUCGGUUUCCUUUCCAUGUCUCAUAAUUUGUUAAAACCUGGACAUUUCACGGGCGAUAAUGUGGCAACUCCGGAAGUCAGAUUCUCUUCCCUGCCAAGGAUGUGUUGUUGUUGUUGCCUGUUGGAGCUGUUUCUUUGCUGGGUGACUUUUCUGAACUAAUUCUGACUAAGCAUUAAUGUCUCCAUUCCCUGCGAGCUGUGGCCACUGAAGCCGCUCUUCAGUUACGGCAGUGGUCAGCUAAUGACUGGUCAGAGAGUUCCUUAGGUGCCUGGAAGCGAAGUCUUUGCCGAGUGGGUCUCUCUCUGUGUGCCGGGCGUGGCUUCAGUGCUCGGCUAGGCAGUGCUCAACUUUCCCUUAGCCGUCACCUGCUGUCUGCACAGCACCUCAGGUCACGACCCCCAGGAGACCUGGAGGACUGAAUGCUGCUGCCCCCAAGGAGGAGGCUGCCGUCUUAUCCCAGGAGGGAGAGCAGGUGAAGUCCCCAGGGGAGGAAGCACCUAGCCCCAUUCCUGCUGAGCAGGAGGUGGCAGGUACCCCAGACUGGGAGGUAAGGACAGCCCGGGGCUUCGACUGAACGUCUCCAGCGUGGGUCCAACUGAGCAGCCAUGGAGCACUGCAGAGUGGGAGGCAGCAGGGCAGGGAGGCAGUGCUGGAGGCUGGCUCAACCCCAAGACCAGCAGGCCAAGCUGCCAUCCCAGGGGAGCGAGGACGUCUGUGCAGAGCUGAGAGGCAGCAGCCAUGUGUGAACAGACUGGGCCUCAUCCUGGCCCCACCGACUUUGUGUGGACAGAGCCUGUUUCCCUGUCUGUGCAACACAGAACCUGCCUGAUCUCACUGCUGGAUCCCUCUUCUUCCUGCCAGGAAAAUAAAAAGGUUCAAAAGGAAGUUGCUGCGUAUCCAUCUGAGGCCUCUGAGGACAGCAAAGAGCAAAGGCCCUGGGACCGGGUCUACGUGCCCAUGACAGAGCUCUGGCUGGACUGGUUCUGAGCCUCUAACACCCCCAAGACUCAGAACCGUGAAGAAAAUCUUUCCAAUAAAUCCAAGAGUUGCUGCUGCUAUAGGCCAGGCUGCCACCUUUCGGGGCCUCCGUCUUCAGACAAACCCAGCCUGGCUUCAUCCACACUCCCUGUCCCCACAGCUGCAGGAACAGCACUUCCUGCCACCGAGCCGUGUGACCACAGUGGAUUGUCUCUGGAGGGGCCCAAGGGGGCCCUGGCCACCCUUCUGACUGACUCGGUGCCAGGGGACAGACCAACGUCCCUCUCGUGCUGACAGCCGGGCCGCACCCUGGCAUGAGGGCAUUUACAGAAAUGCUGGCGGAACUGCUGCCAGGGAGGCUGUAGGGUCCUCUGGCAAAAGAGGCCUCAGGUGGCUCCUCAGAGUGUCUGUGGUUCUCUGUCCCAGGCUGUUCCCUAAGAAGGUCUGCCCAGGACUCAGACGGAGAUUUCCUCUUGUUGCCCAGGCUGGUGGCUCCCCUCCAUUGUGCAAUGAUGCAAUCUCGGCUCACUACAACCUUCACCUCUAGGCUUCAAGCAAUUCUCCUGCCUCAGCCUCCUAAGUAGCUGGGAUUACAGGUGUGUGCCACCACGUCUAGCUUUUUAUAUUUUCAGUAGAGAUAGGGUUUCACCAUGUUGGCCAGGCUAGUCUUGAACUCCUGACUUCAGGUGAUCCACCCACCUCAGGCUCCCAAAGUGCUGGGAUUAUAGGCAUGAGCCACCGCACCCAAUCCCAGCUAAUUUUGUAUUUUUUGUAGAGACCGGGUUCUUCCAAGUUGUCCAGGCUGGUCUUGAAUUCCUGGGGUGAAGCGAUCCUCCCACCUGGGCCUCCCAAAGUGCUGGGAUUACAGGCCUGAGCCACUGUGACUACCUGAUACGUCUCUUCUCUCUUGCUGCUUUCAAAAUCCUGUCUUUUGUGGGAGGGCAGCUGCCGAGCUCUGGACUUCUACGGGAUCAUCCACUGAGGACAGGAGGACCGGGCCCUCUACAGGUGGAUUGUAUGGCAGCUGCCAUGCUUGGAGCCAGUGCUCACCGAGCACGUGGCGGCUGUGGAGCUGGACGCGGGGUUGAUAAGUCCGCUGGGGGUGACGGGCUCAUCCAUGAGUGGUACUUGAUGUGGCUGCAGAAGGCGGAUGUGGUGGUGGCAGAAGUGACACAACUGUCCCUGGGUAUAGGCUAUGAUCUGUGCCAGGCCACAGCCCUCAAUAAGUGAAUCCUGUGCCUGCUCCAGCAGCAGUCCGGUGGAGUGCUGUCGGCCAUGAUCUGGGAAGAGGCAGAUGGCUCUGGGUUCCAGGUGUGGGACUACGGAGAGGGACAGGUGGAGGCCCUGCUGCAUGGAUAGGUUGAGGCUGAUCCUUCCGAGCAGGUUGCCUCCCCUAACCCAACCAUUGGACCUAAUCCCAUUUUAUUAAAUUCUUCUCAUCCCAGACACUGCUCUAGUACCAGUCCUGGCUCUUUGCCCCAGGAGCAAAUUAAAAGGUACAUUUAAAAUUCUAAAAAAAGAAAAAUCUGUCUUUUGACAGUGAUUAUGAUGAUGCGUAUGGCUGAAGAUCUCUUUGAGUUUACCCUACUUGGAGUUUGAUGAGCUUUUUGGAUGUACGGAUUAAUAUUUUUCAUCAGAUUUGGGAGGUUUUUCAGCCAUUAAUUCUUCAACUAUUCCUUUACUCCUUUCUCCCUGUCUUCUUUCCUGGGACUCCCAUUGUGUGUAUGUCGGAAAGCUUGACGGCGUCUCCAGGUCUCUGGAUCUCUGUGCAUUGCUCUUCAUGCUUGUUCCUGUUCCUCAGAGGGGACUACCUCAGGUGGCCUCUCUCCAUAGUCACAGGCUCUUUCUUCCAAUUGUUCCAAUCUGCUCUUGGGCCCCUGGGAUGAAUUUUCAUUUAUUUUACCCUACAACUCCAGAAUUUUUAUUUGGUUCCUUUUUAAACUUUUUUUUUGUUUUUUGUUUUGUUUUGUUUUUUGGAGUAUCGCUCUGUCACCCAGGCUGUAGUGCAGUGGUGCAAUCUCGGCUCACUGCAAUCUCUGCCUCUCGGGUUCAAGCGAUUCUCCUGCCUCAGCCUCCCGAGUAGCUGGGAUUACAGGCACGUGCCACCACGCCCGGCUAAUUUUUGUAUUUUAAGUAGAGACGGGGUUUCACCAUGUUGGCCAGGCUGGUCUCAAUCUCUUGACCUCAUGAUAUGCCCGCCUCAGCCUCCCAAAGUGCUGGGAUUAUAGGCAUGAGCCACCAUGCCCAGCCCCUUUUUAUAAGGUUCAUCCCAUUAUUGAUAUUCUCUAAUUGGUGAGACAUUGUUCCCACACUUUCGUUAGUUCUUUUGACAUGGUUCUUUUCUUUUUCUUGGGAGAGGGUCUCUCUGUCGCCCAAGCUGGAGUGCAGUGAUGCAGUCAUGGCUCACUGCAGCCUCAACUUCCUGGGCUGAAGUGAUCCUCCUACCUCAGCAUCCUGAGAGGCUGGGACCAUAGGCAGCCAGCUAAUUUUUUAAAUUUUUUGUAGAGAUGGGGGUCUCACCACAUUUCCCAAGCUGCUCUCAAACUCCUGGGCUCAAGCAAUCCACGGGCCUCAGCUUCCCAGAGUGCUAGGAUUAUAGGUGUGAGCCACUGCACCAGGCCUACACGUGGUUUCUCCCUUUGAAGUACUAGCCAGGCCUGACCAUGCUUAGCUUCCGAGAUCAGCAGGUUCCAGCCGGUGCAGCCUCAGAUGCAGCAUGUUUUAGGUCUUUGAACAUAUUUAAAUGAGCUGACUGAACGUCUUUGUCUAGCAAUUGCAGCAUCGGGCUGGUCCCAUUGGUGACUUUUCCCGUGUCUGGGUCGUCCUUUCGGUUUCCUUUCCAUGUCUCAUAAUUUGUUAAAACCUGGACAUUUCACGGGCGAUAAUGUGGCAACUCCGGAAGUCAGAUUCUCUUCCCUGCCAAGGAUGUGUUGUUGUUGUUGCCUGUUGGAGCUGUUUCUUUGCUGGGUGACUUUUCUGAACUAAUUCUGACUAAGCAUUAAUGUCUCCAUUCCCUGCGAGCUGUGGCCACUGAAGCCGCUCUUCAGUUACGGCAGUGGUCAGCUAAUGACUGGUCAGAGAGUUCCUUAGGUGCCUGGAAGCGAAGUCUUUGCCGAGUGGGUCUCUCUCUGUGUGCCGGGCGUGGCUUCAGUGCUCGGCUAGGCAGUGCUCAACUUUCCCUUAGCCGUCACCUGCUGUCUGCACAGCACCUCAGGUCAGUCACGGGUGAGGGCUCAGGGCCUUGCCGGCCUUCCUGAAUAUGGGCACAGCUGCAGACAGCCUUACCCACGUGCAGGGCACCUAGAUUCCCAAGAAGGGGCAAGAGCUGUUCAAAACCACUACAAGCUGGACAUGGUGGCUCACACCUGUAGUGUCAGUGACUCAGAAGGCUGUAAUGGGAGGAUGACUUGAGGCCAGGAGUUUGAGACCUAGCAAGACCCCAUCCCCCACCCAAAAAAACAAAAACAACAACAAAAACUCACUGUGGACCGCUCAUGCCCCAGCUGCUGCUUUUUAACCCCAGCUGUUAUCCAUCACCACAGGCAGCUUCGAUUUUCAAUCAUGGAUCUGAUGACUUUCAACAAACUUUCCUGAGGAAAGUGCUGUUCCCACCAGAAGAGAUCUCAGGACAAAUGUAGACAGCCCUGGCAAGUGGGGUCUCCCUGGGAGCUAGCAGACAGGUGAAAGACUGACAGUUCUUGGGGAAUUAGGCUUUUCUUUUGUUUUGGAGAUGGCGUUUCAUACUUAUCACCCAGACUGGAGUGCAAUGGUGUGAUCUCGGCUCACUGCAACCUCUGCCUCCCAGGUUCAAGCAAUUCUCCUGCCUCAGCCUCCUGAGUAGCUGGGAUUACAGGCACCCACCACCACGCCCAGCUAAUUUUUUGUAUUUUUAGUAGAGACGGGGUUUCACCAUGUUGGCCAGGCUGGUCUCGAACAUCUGACCUCAGGUGAUCCACCCAUCUCGGCCUCCCAAAGUGCUGGGAUUACAGGCGUGAGCCACCCUGCCCAGCCCAAUUAUAGAUUUUUUAGGUUUAGGUGUUGACAGUAGCUCUCACCUCAGCCUGUUCUCUCUCCUUGUCAUGCAGCCCACAGGGGAGAUGGUCAGGCCAGUGUGGGGGCUAAUGAAUAAAUGCUACACUGUGCCCACUCAGGUGGGUAAGGGCUGGCACUCCUCUUCCCCUGGAGUGGGGCGGCUGUGCUGGCACCCUUGGCAGACACAGUAAGGGGGACUGCACCUGGAAAGGAUGGGCCAGUCGGGGCAGGACUACUCAUCACUCAUAGUGUGGGUGUCAGGGUUGUGUCACCCCUCCCACCUCCCUCUGCAGAGACGCAAAGUCAAGAGUAGGAAGAAGCCAACCUCUGAGGUAAGGCUUCCCCUGGAAGGCCCAGGGCUGGGGCUCUCUCCUUUCAGAGCUCAGUUAGACCCAGACACACGGCAGGGAGUCCCAAGGGUAGUGGCAGGCCCCCUCCAGGAAACUCACAAGGUUACCACAGCUCAACUGAAAAGGAAGAACUUCCCAGGACUGUGACACCCCAGUGUGAGAACAGGAGGAUGAGGUGCUCUGAAGGCCUUUCUGCCCAGUCUGCCCUCUUAUUCCUCCUGCAGGUCACGACCCCCAGGAGACCUGGAGGACUGAAUGCUGCUGCCCCCAAGGAGGAGGCUGCCGUCUUAUCCCAGGAGGGAGAGCAGGUGAAGUCCCCAGGGGAGGAAGCACCUAGCCCCAUUCCUGCUGAGCAGGAGGUGGCAGGUACCCCAGACUGGGAGGUAAGGACAGCCCGGGGCUUCGACUGAACGUCUCCAGCGUGGGUCCAACUGAGCAGCCAUGGAGCACUGCAGAGUGGGAGGCAGCAGGGCAGGGAGGCAGUGCUGGAGGCUGGCUCAACCCCAAGACCAGCAGGCCAAGCUGCCAUCCCAGGGGAGCGAGGACGUCUGUGCAGAGCUGAGAGGCAGCAGCCAUGUGUGAACAGACUGGGCCUCAUCCUGGCCCCACCGACUUUGUGUGGACAGAGCCUGUUUCCCUGUCUGUGCAACACAGAACCUGCCUGAUCUCACUGCUGGAUCCCUCUUCUUCCUGCCAGGAAAAUAAAAAGGUUCAAAAGGAAGUUGCUGCGUAUCCAUCUGAGGCCUCUGAGGACAGCAAAGAGCAAAGGCCCUGGGACCGGGUCUACGUGCCCAUGACAGAGCUCUGGCUGGACUGGUUCUGAGCCUCUAACACCCCCAAGACUCAGAACCGUGAAGAAAAUCUUUCCAAUAAAUCCAAGAGUUGCUGCUGCUAUAGGCCAGGCUGCCACCUUUCGGGGCCUCCGUCUUCAGACAAACCCAGCCUGGCUUCAUCCACACUCCCUGUCCCCACAGCUGCAGGAACAGCACUUCCUGCCACCGAGCCGUGUGACCACAGUGGAUUGUCUCUGGAGGGGCCCAAGGGGGCCCUGGCCACCCUUCUGACUGACUCGGUGCCAGGGGACAGACCAACGUCCCUCUCGUGCUGACAGCCGGGCCGCACCCUGGCAUGAGGGCAUUUACAGAAAUGCUGGCGGAACUGCUGCCAGGGAGGCUGUAGGGUCCUCUGGCAAAAGAGGCCUCAGGUGGCUCCUCAGAGUGUCUGUGGUUCUCUGUCCCAGGCUGUUCCCUAAGAAGGUCUGCCCAGGACUCAGGUAAUCAUAUGCUCAUUAGAAACUCUUGGGCACUGCCUGUGUGCCCAGCCCAGCCCAUUAUGUCGGUGAGGACAGAUGUGGAGGACAGCAGUCCCUGCCCUUGGUUGGGGCUCCAGGCCAGCAAGGGCCACAGCCCCAGAAGGCAGAGCAGGAAGACAGGACUCGGGGCAGGUGAAGCAGCCUUCUCGUUGGCAGAAGGGAAACAGAAGCCCGGGGUGGGGAAGGGUGGGGAAGGGUGGGCCCGGGGUCACACGGGGUAAUGGCAGAGCAAGGACUAGGGUCAGGGUCUCUGGCUCUCAGCUGCCCAUGCCACCUCCUCCUUCUCUGCCCGCCCCAGUGCCUUAUGGGUCCAAGGUUGACUCCUGUCCCUAGGGCAGGCCUGUGGGCCCUGCCUGAUCCCUACUGGGAGGAUGGUACCUAGGGUUGGAGCCAAACAAGUGUCCUCCUCCAGCGCCA